UCAGAACGAACGCUGGCGGCAGGCUUAACACAUGCAAGUCGAGCGCCCCGCAAGGGGAGCGGCAGACGGGUGAGUAACGCGUGGGAAUCUACCCAUCUCUACGGAACAACUCCGGGAAACUGGAGCUAAUACCGUAUACGUCCUUCGGGAGAAAGAUUUAUCGGAGAUGGAUGAGCCCGCGUUGGAUUAGCUAGUUGGUGGGGUAAUGGCCUACCAAGGCGACGAUCCAUAGCUGGUCUGAGAGGAUGAUCAGCCACACUGGGACUGAGACACGGCCCAGACUCCUACGGGAGGCAGCAGUGGGGAAUAUUGGACAAUGGGCGCAAGCCUGAUCCAGCCAUGCCGCGUGAGUGAUGAAGGCCCUAGGGUUGUAAAGCUCUUUCAACGGUGAAGAUAAUGACGGUAACCGAGA
rnacentral:rRNA from 1 species